GGAGGUAUCAGAAGUGCGAAUGCUGACAUGAGUAACGACAAUGGGUGUGAAAAACACCCACGCCGAAAGACCAAGGGUUCCUGCGCAACGUUAAUCGACGCAGGGUUAGUCGGUUCCUAAGGCGAGGCUGAAAAGCGUAGUCGAUGGGAAACAGGUUAAUAUUCCUGUACUUCUGGUUACUGCGAUGGAGGGACGGAGAAGGCUAGGCCAGCUUGGCGUUGGUUGUCCAAGUUUAAGGUGGUAGGCUGAAAUCUUAGGUAAAUCCGGGGUUUCAAGGCCGAGAGCUGAUGACGAGUCGUCUUUUAGAUGACGAAGUGGUUGAUGCCAUGCUUCCAAGAAAAGCUUCUAAGCUUCAGGUAAUCAGGAACCGUACCCCAAACCGACACAGGUGGUCGGGUAGAGAAUACCAAGGCGCUUGAGAGAACUCGGGUGAAGGAACUAGGCAAAAUGGCACCGUAACUUCGGGAGAAGGUGCGCCGGCUAGGGUGAAGGAUUUACUCCGUAAGCUCUGGCUGGUCGAAGAUACCAGGCCGCUGCGACUGUUUAUUAAAAACACAGCACUCUGCAAACACGAAAGUGGACGUAUAGGGUGUGACGCCUGCCCGGUGCCGGAAGGUUAAUUGAUGGGGUUAGCGCAAGCGAAGCUCUUGAUCGAAGCCCCGGUAAACGGCGGCCGUAACUAUAACGGUCCUAAGGUAGCGAAAUUCCUUGUCGGGUAAGUUCCGACCUGCACGAAUGGCGUAACGAUGGCGGCGCUGUCUCCACCCGAGACUCAGUGAAAUUGAAAUCGCUGUGAAGAUGCAGUGUAUCCGCGGCUAGACGGAAAGACCCCGUGAACCUUUACUGUAGCUUUGCACUGGACUUUGAGCCUGCUUGUGUAGGAUAGGUGGGAGGCUUUGAAGCGUGGACGCCAGUUCGCGUGGAGCCAUCCUUGAAAUACCACCCUGGCAUGCUUGAGGUUCUAACUCUGGUCCGUGAUCCGGAUCGAGGACAGUGUAUGGUGGGCAGUUUGACUGGGGCGGUCUCCUCCUAAAGAGUAACGGAGGAGUACGAAGGUGCGCUCAGACCGGUCGGAAAUCGGUCGCAGAGUAUAAAGGCAAAAGCGCGCUUGACUGCGAGACAGACACGUCGAGCAGGUACGAAAGUAGGUCUUAGUGAUCCGGUGGUUCUGUAUGGAAGGGCCAUCGCUCAACGGAUAAAAGGUACUCCGGGGAUAACAGGCUGAUACCGCCCAAGAGUUCAUAUCGACGGCGGUGUUUGGCACCUCGAUGUCGGCUCAUCACAUCCUGGGGCUGAAGCCGGUCCCAAGGGUAUGGCUGUUCGCCAUUUAAAGUGGUACGCGAGCUGGGUUUAGAACGUCGUGAGACAGUUCGGUCCCUAUCUGCCGUGGACGUUUGAGAUUUGAGAGGGGCUGCUCCUAGUACGAGAGGACCGGAGUGGACGAACCUCUGGUGUUCCGGUUGUCACGCCAGUGGCAUUGCCGGGUAGCUAUGUUCGGAAAAGAUAACCGCUGAAAGCAUCUAAGCGGGAAACUUGCCUCAAGAUGAGAUCUCACUGGGAACUUGAUUCCCCUGAAGGGCCGUCGAAGACUACGACGUUGAUAGGCUGGGUGUGUAAGCGUUGUGAGGCGUUGAGCUAACCAGUACUAAUUGCCCGUGAGGCUUGACCAUAUAACACCCAAACA
rnacentral:rRNA from 1 species